rnacentral:sRNA from 1 species
UCGGACCGUACGCCGAAUCCUGCCCCUGGUCCGGUGACCCCUCCGACUUGCAUCUGGGGCAGGAGCGGGGGAACCACGUUCCUCCGGGCGUCGCCUCCUUCGAUGCCCUUGGGGUGAAGCCGAAUACGCACGGGGCGUUCGGCCGGGCUCCCAGCCCGAACCCGACAGCUCAUCUCGCAGGCGUAGGGGAAGGAUCA